GACGAGGGGUCCUAGCGUUGUUCGGAAUCACUGGGCGUAAAGCGUAUGUAGGCGGCUUUCUAAGUCGGUUGUGAAAUCCCAUGGCUUAACCAUGGAAUUGCAUUCGAAACUGGAGAGCUUGAGUGUGGGAGAGAUUGGUAGAAUACCUGGUGUAGUGGUGAAAUACGUAGAUAUCAGGUGGAAUACCGGUGGCGAAGGCGGCCAAUUGGCCCAACACUGACGCUGAGAUACGAAAGCGUGGGGAGCGAACCGG
rnacentral:rRNA from 1 species